AUCAUGGAGAGUUUGAUCCUGGCUCAGAACGAACGCUGGCGGCGCGUCUUAAGCAUGCAAGUCGAGCGGCAAGGGGGAGCAAUCCCUCCUAGAGCGGCGGACUGGUGAGUAACGCGUGGGUGACCUACUUUCAGGACUGGGAUAGCCAUUAGAAAUAGUGGGUAAUACCGGAUGUGGUUAUGGGACUAUGGUUUCAUAAAGAAAGGGGCUUUGGCCCCGCCUGGGGAUGGGCUUGCGUCCCAUUAGGUAGUUGGUGAGGUAAAGGCCCACCAAGCCUGAGAUGGGUAGCCGGCCUGAGAGGGUGGACGGCCACACUGGGACUGAGAUACGGCCCAGACUCCUACGGGAGGCAGCAGCUAAGAAUAUUCCGCAAUGGGCGAAAGCCUGACGGAGCGAC
rnacentral:rRNA from 1 species